GACCCAGACUCCUACGGGAGGCAGCAGUGGGGAAUAUUGCACAAUGGGGGAAACCCUGAUGCAGCGACGCCGCGUGAGUGAAGAAGUACUUCGUUAUGUAAAGCUCUAUCAGCAGGGAGGAAAAUGACGGUACCUGACUAAGAAGCCCCGGCUAACUACGUGCCAGCAGCCGCGGUAAUACGUAGGGGGCAAGCGUUAUCCGGAUUUACUGGGUGUAAAGGGAGCGUAGACGGCAAUGCAAGCCAGAUGUGAAAGCCCGGGGCUCAACCCCGGGACUGCAUUUGGAACUGUGUAGCUGGAGUGUCGGAGAGGCAGGCGGAAUUCCUGGUGUAGCGGUGAAAUGCGUAGAUAUCAGGAGGAACACCGGUGGCGAAGGCGGCCUGCUGGACUGCAACUGACGUUGAGGCCCGAAAGCGUGGGGAGCAAACAGGAUUAGAUCCCCGUGUA
rnacentral:rRNA from 1 species